rnacentral:tRNA from 1 species
GUCAGGAUGGCCAAGCGGUCCAAGGUGCUGCGUUCAGGUCACAAUCCGGUCUUCCGGGUGUGGGUUCGAAUCCCACUCCUGACA